CGGGUCUCCGCGCUCGCAGCGCCUGGCCGGCCCGGUCCUUCUCCGUGGUCUGAGCGUGCUGCUUUGGUGUGCCCAUGAUGUUCAGUGACUGCGAGACAAACACGAUCUUUCGUACUUUGAAGUAAUCACAAGUGCUGUCUGACAGGAGAGUGGUGAGAAGAUGGAGCCAGACUCUUCUUGGAGCUCCACAGUGACAGGACAAGAUGCAAUAAUAGACACAAGUUUGAACAUGGAAAAAUCUGAUUAGAUGAAAUAGAGACAGAAGUGGCAGAGCAGUGAUACAAGUCUGCAGUAGGCAUCCCGCGUGGUUAGAUGAAGAUUCCACAAGUACAGUGAUUGCUUGCCUUCUGAUGUACUGGUACAGCAUCCCCAGGUACAAGGUGAGCCAAGCUGCUGGGGUUUUGGCUUUAUCUUUUUGUUACGGUAAUACAGGUGUUAGGGGUGCAGGGACUUCUUAUUGCAAGAAGAUCCUAACUGCUUCAUCAUCCUAGACAGCACUAAAAUUGUUUGUGAGCACCGCACGCUGGUAGUCGCAAGAGGACGAGAAGUCUUAAUUUCAUAACUUGUGUUUUACCUUUAGCUGAAAUGUUGAAUACUUGGUUUGUGUGAUAAAAGAUCAGCUUGUGUUUGGACAGAAGUUUGCUGGUUUUUUAAAUACUGUUUUAUUACUAUUCACUGCUUUUAAACAAUGUACCACAACUGAAAGCUUCUUGUGUCUGACAUACAUUUAGCAUAUGCCUCUGGUUUAGAAAUAUGUCAGUUCAAUAAGAAUAAGAAUUAUUGAACUGUCAAGUACCUAUGCAGAUACAUUUCCUUUAAGUGCAAGUGGCUGCGUUCAAAUACCAACUCAUUAAUUUUUAAGGUAAUCUCACAGUCUCUUACAAAUGUUCUUUGAUUAUGUGGUUGAACAUUAUGCCUUCUGGUGGCCAGUUACGAGGUGACACACACAAAAUAGUUCUCUGCUGCAGUGUGCAGCUCUAUCUUUGCUCAAAUACUAGAUGCCUGUAUAUUUGAACUUAAAAACUCGGUGAUCUAGCUCAAGCUGAUGUGGUUAAUCUAACAGCAUUGGUUUUAGUUUUAGCUUUGCUUUCUGUGUAACAGGAAGCACAAAGAACACAAUUUGAGUUUGUGUCUUUCUAGCGUUACCUUCACAGUAGAACCAUGAAGUAAGACACCAUUAAUUAAUUCCGUACCUGCAAUCAAUUUGAUUUGUGCACAUAAAACUGUGUUUCUGUGUUAGAGACUGCCUUAAGACUGCUCUGCUUAGCACUGAUUGUUCUUUUCAAGAAGUAAAUAUACAUGGUAAAGUAGUAUCCCAGCUUUUAAUGACUUCUGUUUUCUGUAUGUAGAAGGUAAUGAUGGUUUUGCCACAUCUUGCUCUUAUUUUUUCUGCAAUAUAAUUUCUUUAAUAACUUCUCUAGUCUUUCUUUCUACAGGUCUACAGUUCACAUGCAAGCCUUUUUAUUGGUUUUAAUAAUUGUGGAAUGGUGUUUUAUUCCCUUUCUAAUCUUUUCCUGUGUAAGGAAAAAAAAAUAAUCAUAUGGAUAAAUUAACAGCUCGUUUUCUUUAGUUUCCCCCACACUCAACACUCAUUGGCAUUCUCUCACUGAGUUCAUAUUUCUAUUGUGAUAUAUGAAUGCUGGCCUAAACAUGCAAACCUGGAGGUUGGUACAAAUUCUUGUCUGUUUCUCAGCUAUAGUAGAAGUUAAGAAUUGGGGUAAAGCAAGAAUGUCAGUUGUGAGGAAAAGAAGAUAGAUGCGGCUUUUCCUUGGAAAAUUGAGACCGUGAAGACUACAGAAGCACUCUAAUAAAAACUGUAUAGUACCUCGUCACAUAUUUCGAAGUGAGACUUUCUGUUACUUGUUUUUGUCCUGCUUAUUUUAA